rnacentral:rRNA from 1 species
CCUACGGGAGGCAGCAGUGAGGAAUAUUGGUCAAUGGACGCAAGUCUGAACCAGCCAUGCCGCGUGCAGGAUGACGGCUCUAUGAGUUGUAAACUGCUUUUGUACGAGGAUAAACGCAGAUACGCGUAUCUGUUUGAAAGUAUCGUACGAAUAAGGAUCGGCUAACUCCGUGCCAGCAGCCGCGGUAAUACGGAGGAUUCGAGCGUUAUCCGGAUUUAUUGGGUUUAAAGGGUGCGUAGGCGGUCGGAUAAGUUAGAGGUGAAAUCCCGAGGCUCAACUUCGGAAUUGCAAUUGAUACUGGUAGGCUAGAGAGUAGUUGCGGUAGGCGGAAUGUAUGGUGUAGCGGUGAAAUGCUUAGAGAUCAUACAGAACACCGAUUGCGAAGGCAGCUUACCAAGCUACUACUGACGUUGAGGCACGAAAGCGUGGGGAGCAAACAGGAUUAGAUACCCGUGUAGUC